rnacentral:rRNA from 1 species
UACAGAGGAGCCAAGCGUUGUCCGGAUUGACUGGGCGUAAAGCGCACGCAGGCGGCAUCGCGCGUGGGGUGUGAAAUCUGGCCGCUUAACGGCCAGGCGCCAUCCCAUACGGCGAGGCUGGAGCGAUGCAGAGGUCGGUGGAAUUGCCGGUGUAGUGGUGAAAUGCGUAGAGAUCGGCAGGAACACCCAGGGGAAACCAGCCGACU